AGUGAACGCUGGCGGUAGGCCUAACACAUGCAAGUCGAACGGCAGCACAGUAAGAUCUUGCUCUUACGGGUGGCGAGUGGCGGACGGGUGAGGAAUACAUCGGAAUCUACUUUUUCGUGGGGGAUAACGUAGGGAAACUUACGCUAAUACCGCAUACGACCUACGGGUGAAAGCAGUGGAUCUUCGGACCUUGCGCGAUUGAAUGAGCCGAUGUCGGAUUAGCUAGUUGGCGGGGUAAAGGCCCACCAAGGCGACGAUCCGUAGCUGGUCUGAGAGGAUGAUCAGCCACACUGGAACUGAGACACGGUCCAGACUCCUACGGGAGGCAGCAGUGGGGAAUAUUGGGCAAUGGGCGCAAGCCUGAUCCAGCCAUACCGCGUGGGUGAAGAAGGCCUUCGGGUUGUAAAGCCCUUUUGUUGGGAAAGAAAAGCAGCAGGUUAAUACCCCGCUGUUCUGACGGUACCCAAAGAAUAAGCACCGGCUAACUUCGUG
rnacentral:rRNA from 1 species